rnacentral:rRNA from 1 species
UACGUAGGUGGCAAGCGUUGUCCGGAAUUAUUGGGCGUAAAGCGUACGCAGGCGGCCUUCUAAGUCUGAUGUGAAAUCCCACGGCUUAACCGUGGAAGGUCAUUGGAAACUGGAAGGCUUGAGGAUAGAAGAGGAAAGUGGAAUUCCACGUGUAGCGGUGAAAUGCGUAGAGAUGUGGAGGAACACCAGUGGCGAAGGCGACUUUCUGGUCUAUUACUGACGCUGAGGUGCGAAAGCGUGGGGAGCAAACAGG